rnacentral:sRNA from 1 species
UGUGAACUGCAGGACACAUGAACACCGACACGUUGAACGCAUAUUGCACAUCGUACCUCCAGUACGAUGUACACAUUUUUGAGUGCCUAUAUUUAUACAUUCAACUAUACGUGUGCCUCCCUCUCGGGGGUGUGCGCGCACGUAUGCAUAGUGAUGUUUUCCCGCCUUCGGUGCGCGGUAAAACAUUCAAGAUAGUCAGACGCGACGGUGGCCGGCGUGCCAGUCGUCGUCGUGGUUGAUGAGUACAUCCCAAACCGGAGUCUCAGUGGCAGUGAGCUUAGUACCCCCGUGUGUGAGUUGUGCGGUGCGGUGUCGUGGAAUUAGGCGC